CAUCCUUGUUAAAGUGGGAUACUUGCUUUUGUCUUUAAAAAUUCCCUUCGAGAAGAAGGUGAGAGAGAUAUUAGUGCGUAAGACUCGCUCUCGUAAAGAGAUCGCUAUAAAAAAGAUUUUUAGAUUCUAUUUUAAGAUGAUUUUUCGUUAAAAUAAUCACGUAAUAUAAUUUAUGACAUAUAUUGCGAAUAAUUAGACGGGACGUCAUGAUAAUUAUUAUGAUAAAAGACUCGCGAUAUAUGUUGUCGUAAUCCCGAGCUUAAUGAGUUUUACGAGAGGAGGUUUAAAAAGAACGUCAAACAAAGAACAGCAUCAACUAUUAUAAACGAUAAACAAUGAUAAACUUGCAGCAAUUAGAGAAGCAAAAA